rnacentral:pre_miRNA from 1 species
GUCCCAAAUACACUGCUGGAGUCAGUGGGUACAAGUCUGUGGAGCUGAUAGAGUUGUACAUGUUGACACAAGCAGUGAAUUUGGCCG